CGCGGCCUAUCAGCUUGUUGGUGGGGUAACGGCCCACCAAGGCAUCGACGGGUAGCUGGUCUGAGAGGACGACCAGCCACACUGGGACUGAGACACGGCCCAGACUCCUACGGGAGGCAGCAGUGGAGAAUCUUGCGCAAUGGGCGAAAGCCUGACGCAGCAACGCCGCGUGGGGGAUGAAGGCUCUCGGGUCGUAAACCCCUUUCAGUGGGAACGAAAUUGACGGUACCCACAGAAGAAGGACCGGCCAACUACGUGCCAGCAGCCGCGGUAACACGUAGGGUCCGAGCGUUGUCCGGAUUUAUUGGGCGUAAAGGGCCCGUAGGCGGCUUGAUAAGUCGGGUGUGAAAACUUCAGGCUCAACCUGGAGACGCCACCCGAUACUGUCAUGGCUUGAGUCUGGUAGGGGAGUGCGGAAUUCCUGGUGUAGCGGUGAAAUGCAUAGAUAUCAGGAGGAACACCGGUGGCGAAGGCGGCACUCUGGGCCAGUACUGACGCUGAUGGGCGAAAGCGUGGGUAGCAAACAGGAUUAGAUACCCUGGUAGUCCACGCCGUAAACGUUGGGCACUAGGUGUGGGGACUUUCAACGGUCUCUGUGCCGUAGCUAACGCAUUAAGUGCCCCGCCUGGGA
rnacentral:rRNA from 1 species